rnacentral:rRNA from 1 species
AGCUCUCCGAGUGGUGUGGAUGUUUAUUGGGCCUAAAGCAUCCGUAGCUGGCUAAGUUAGUCCCUUGUUAAAUCCACCGAAUUAAUCGUUGGAUUGCGGGGGAUACUGCUUGGCUAGGGGACGAGAGAGGCAGACGGUAUUUUUGGGGUAGGGGUGAAAUCCUAUAAUCCCAGGAAGACCACCAGUGGCGAAGGCUGUCUGCUAGAACGCGCCCGACGGUGAGGGAUGAAAGCUGGGGGGAGCGAACC